rnacentral:tRNA from 1 species
AGGGAUUUAGCUCAGUGGCACAGCAUCUGCCUGGCAAGUGGAAGGUACUGAGUUCAAUCCCUG